AAUAUAAUCAAAGGGGUUGAAAAAGGACUUCUUUAUCUCCACCAAGAUUGAAGACUGACUAUAAUUCAUAGAGAUCUCAAAGCUGGAAAUGUUUUGCUAGAUGGAGAGAUGAAGCCCAAGAUAGUUGAUUUUGGGAUGGCAAGAAUAUUCGGAGACCAUGAACAAAGUGAAAAUACCCCACGUGUCGUUGCAAAAUAG
rnacentral:rRNA from 1 species